rnacentral:rRNA from 1 species
UACGGAGGAUGCGAGCGUUAUCCGGAUUUAUUGGGUUUAAAGGGUGCGCAGGCGGUCUGUUAAGUCAGCGGUCAAAGCCCGGGGCUCAACCCCGGGACUGCAUUGGAAACUGUCGCGCUCGAGUGUCGGAGAGGUAAGUGGAAUUCCUAGUGUAGCGGUGAAAUGCGUAGAUAUUAGGAGGAACACCAGUGGCGAAGGCGGCUUACUGGACGACAACUGACGCUGAGGCUCGAAAGCGUGGGGAGCAAACAGG